UUUGAAUCCACAUUCUCUCAAUCUCUUUUUGAAACCCUAGCCGCCUUCUUCCACUUCCUCCCUUAGACCACUGGAAUCCAUGGCUUCCGAGGCCAUUGAAGUCCAACCCGGCCUACUAUAGCUUCUAGACGCAUCGUUACUGAAGUUUCAAGACCUGACCACAAAGAAGCUUGGCCCAGGCCUUGUUUGAUUCAAGUUCUAUGGCCGUCUCCGACCUUACUCUGGUCAGCCAUGGUCAUUCGAGCAUAAUCUCGACUUCUCCGGAGUAGAUCAGUGACUUUCCAAGCCUUUCUCAC
rnacentral:lncRNA from 1 species